CCUAAACUUUCCACGUGAACUGUCUGUGAUGUUGGGGGCGUGUCGUUCGCGGCGGCUCCAUCAAACGAGGCUCUGGGCUGAAAAGUCGAGGGUAGUAGUUACUUUUUGUAAACUCAUUGCAUUAUUUUCUGAUCAUACUGUGGGGACGAAAGUCUCUGCUUUUAACUAGAUAGCAACUUUCAGCAGUGGAUGUCUAGGCUCGCACAUCGAUGAAGAACGCUGCGAACUGCGAUACGUAAUGCGAAUUGCAGGAUUCAGUGAGUCAUCGAAAUUUUGAACGCAUAUUGCACUUCCGGGUUAUGCCUGGGAGUAUGCCUGUAUCAGUGUCCGUACAUCAACCUUGGCUUCCUUCCUUCCGUGUAGUCGGUGGCGGGAACGCUCAGACGUGAAGCGUCUUGCUGGCUGUAAGGCCGGCGAGUCCUUUGAAAUGUAAGAUACUGUUCUUCUCUUUGCUGGAAAAGCGUGCGUUGUGCGGUUGUGGAGGCUGCCGUUAUGGCCAGUCGGCGACUGAUUUCGUGCUGAGGCGUGUGGAGAGGAGCUCGAUUCGCGGUAUGGUUGGCUUCGGCUGAACUUCUGCUUAUGGGGCUGCUUGUCUGCUGUUUCGGCGUAGCGGGGUCGGUGAACCGUAGUCGUGGUGGCUUGGCUUUUGAACCGUGCGAUUGGUGCGCGAAGUAUGGUGGCUUCGGCCGAGAGGACGACCUAUKUGGGACGAUUGUGCGGCUUCGUGCUGCAUCUCAAUUGGACCUGAUAUCAGGCAAGAUACCGC
rnacentral:rRNA from 1 species